rnacentral:rRNA from 1 species
AACGCGAAGAACCUUACCUGGGCUAGAAUGCUGGUGGACCGUGGGUGAAAGCCCACUUUGUAGCAAUACACCGCCAGUAAGGUGCUGCAUGGCUGUCGUCAGCUCGUGCCGUGAGGUGUUGGGUUAAGUCCCGCAACGAGCGCAACCCCCAUCACUAGUUGCCAUCAGGUAAUGCUGGGAACUCUAGUGAAACUGCCGUCGUAAGACGUGAGGAAGGAGGGGAUGAUGUCAAGUCAUCAUGGCCUUUAUGCCCAGGGCUACACACGUGCUACAAUGGGGAGGACAAAGGGCUGCAACACAGUGAUGUGAAGCUAAUCCCAAAAACCUCUUCUCAGUUCAGAUCGCAGUCUGCAACUCGACUGCGUGAAGCUGGAAUCGCUAGUAAUCGUAUAUCAGCAAUGAUACGGUGAAUACGUUCCCGGGCCUUGUA